CCUACGGGAGGCAGCAGUGGGGAAUAUUGGACAAUGGGCGAAAGCCUGAUCCAGCCAUGCCGCGUGUGUGAAGAAGGCCUUCGGGUUGUAAAGCACUUUCAGUGGGGAAGAAAGCCUUGGGGCUAAUACCCUCGAGGAAGGACAUCACCCACAGAAGAAGCACCGGCUAACUCCGUGCCAGCAGCCGCGGUAAUACGGAGGGUGCGAGCGUUAAUCGGAAUUACUGGGCGUAAAGCGCGCGUAGGCGGUCUGAUAAGCCGGUUGUGAAAGCCCCGGGCUCAACCUGGGGACGGCAUCCGGAACUGUCAGGCUAGAGUGCAGGAGAGGAAGGUAGAAUUCCCGGUGUAGCGGUGAAAUGCGUAGAGAUCGGGAGGAAUACCAGUGGCGAAGGCGGCCUUCUGGACUGACACUGACGCUGAGGUGCGAAAGCGUGGGUAGCAAACAGGAUUAGAUACCCUAGUAGUC
rnacentral:rRNA from 1 species